AAAAAUCUCCUUCACAUUGAAUGGAACGUCAUUUAGAUCGUGGCAACACUGGAAUAAUGCUGCAGAAAGGAACAGCGGCUACCAAAAUGAUAGUCAUCUCUCCUGGAUCCACGAGAACUAAGACGUA